ACCUGCAGCUUUCACCUGCACAUCCACUGAAGCUCAGCAGGGUUGAGUCUGGUCUGUAUCUGGAUGUGAGACCUUCAGGGAAGACCAGGUUGCUGCUGGAA
ensembl:rRNA 5S_rRNA 5S ribosomal RNA